GAUGAACGCUAGCUACAGGCUUAACACACGCAAGUCGAGGGGUAACGAGAGGAAAGCUUGCUUUCCUUGUCGACGACCGGCGCACGGGUGAGUAGCGCGUAUCCAACCUGCCCCCAACUAGGGAAUAACCUUGCGAAAGUAAGACUAAUACCCUAUAAUUUCCUCAGAUGUCAUCUGACGAGGAAUAAAGAUUUAUCGGUUGUGGAUGGGGAUGCGUCUGAUUAGCUUGUUGGCGGGGUAACGGCCCACCAAGGCAACGAUCAGUAGGGGUUCUGAGAGGAAGGUCCCCCACAUUGGAACUGAGACACGGUCCAAACUCCUACGGGAGGCAGCAGUGAGGAAUAUUGGUCAAUGGGCGGAAGCCUGAACCAGCCAAGUAGCGUGCAGGAUGACGGCCCUAUGGGUUGUAAACUGCUUUUAUACAGGAAUAAAGUGAGCCACGUGUGGUUAUUUGUAGGUACUGUAUGAAUAAGGACCGGCUAAUUCCGUGCCAGCCGCCGCCGUAAUAC
rnacentral:rRNA from 1 species